rnacentral:lncRNA from 1 species
UGCCGACAGUAGAACUCCAACAAUUUUUUAAAUUUUAGUCCCGAAACUACGCCACCUAGUGGACACAUCUGAAAAUGAAUCGGAGUGACGUGGAAUCGCCAUUUUAUUCCAAGACGUUGAGCCAGAAGCAGGUCGCCGUUGUAUCGGUUGUAUGCUCAAUCUUUAACAUUUUGACGGAAAUAAAUAAGGUUCAGCUGCUAAAAUGUCAUCCAUUGCUACGUGUAACGGCUGUAUGUUUCAUCCAAUCCUUUGCUGAAAUACUUAAAGAAGAAGUUUCACAGCCAGGUGAAGUCUGAGCUUCUGCAAUGCUGUCUUUUGUGCUCAUGGUUUUGUUGCAGCCAGCUGACGAUUGGUGUGAUGAACUACUGCAUGCAGUCCAUUGUGCUGGUGUGGUGAGCUGCUUCUAUCCAGUCUGUGGUGCUGGCGUUAUCCUGAAAGGUUGGCUCUAGAUUCCUGACAAUGUGGUGUUUGUGGUGGAAAUGAGGAACUGAUUUCAUCGUAUCAAAAAUUCUUAUCCAUGUAAUUGUGUUUGAUUUUACGAUGGGGUUUGCUUAGUAAGUGAAAUAAAGAAAAAUAAAUGACAUCAAUAUUAA